GAGGCUUUUGUGUAAACAUAGUCCUCCUCCCUCUGGAAACUCUAGCCCUAGCUACAGGUUACUUGGCUGAGUCCUGAUCUUAAAGAGACCUGAGCCCUUUAAUCACCCAGAGGCAAAGACUUACAGUACUCCCUUCGGGCGGCUAACUGGGUGGGAAUUUGCAAGCUUUGUUUCCCCCUCCCCCAACGUCCCCAGCUGCGGGCAGAGGUGAUUUUGAAGUCUCUCUCCCCACGUUUCUUUACUUUCCCCUCCUCCUUAUUCUUCACAGAGGGAUUUCUUUUUCUACUUCUCUCCCUCGAUUGCAAGACUCGAGAAGUCUUUUCUACCUUGGGAGAAUCAAGGUACAAUUGAUGACAUUUCCAGGCGAUCUGCCAUUUUAGAAGACACUUUCAGCAUUCUGCAGAUCUCACCAGGAAGAAGGCUGCUUGGAGUAAUAUGUGACCAUUGCACCCCAGGUCUGAAAAUAAGCCAUGUCUCAGCAAUUCUCAUGGGAGCAGAGAGCUAAAAGACAAAUACAUAUGGACCACCAAUGGGUUACAAUUCCUUUAAAAGAAAGAAAGAACCUAACACAUACUCCGCAUAAUUGCCUCCUGCUAAUAACUGUUUGCACCAAGUAUAAAUGCUAAGCAAACCCUGAUUCUGGCCAUCAAUACACCUGGAGCCCAAUUGCCAAUCCUGAGAGAUCCCUUGAACCUUUUCUUUCCUCUUCUCAGACACCUCCUCCACCACCACAAACAAAACAAAACAAAACAAAAAAAGAAUUCCUAUCCCAAGUCCUGUCUGAUGAAGGAAAGCUGCACCUGGGGGCAGUUCAGUACUAGAGAAUGGAUUGUUUCACUGUCUGCUUCAGAGAAGAGUGAAAAGCAGUGAAAGAAAGAAAAAGAGAAAAAGAGAGAAAGAGAA